rnacentral:rRNA from 1 species
UACGUAGGUGGCAAGCGUUGUCCGGAAUCACUGGGCGUAAAGCGCGCGCAGGCGGCGAUCUACGUCUGGGGUGAAAGCCCGGAGCUCAACUCCGGGACUGCCUUGGAUACGGGAUCGCUUGAGGAUUGGAGAGGCAAGGGGAAUUCCACGUGUAGCGGUGAAAUGCGUAGAUAUCAAGUGGAACACCAGUGGCGAAGGCGAGUCCCUGGAAAACUCCUGACACUGAGGCACGAAAGCUAGGGGAGCAAACAGG